rnacentral:rRNA from 1 species
AGGGGGAAAAUUAAUAAAUAGUAAAUAAAAUUAAUAAAAGAAAUUUUAAUAUAAAAAAUAUUUAAUGGGGGUUAAAGUAUUUUUAUAGAAAAAAUUUGAAAUUUUAUAGUUAAUUAGUAUUGUGAAAGAAGUUUGAAAUAAUAAUGAAAUGAAAAUUAUUUAAAAGUAGGUUUUAUUUGUUGUAUCUUGUGUAUCAGAGUUUAUUAAAAAAAUUUUAUUUUUUAAAUUUCUCGAAUUUAAAAGAGUUAAUUAAUUAAUAAAUUUAUUGUUUCAUAAAUAUUUUAAAUAAUUAAUUAGAAAUGAAAUGUUAUUCGUUUUUAAAUAUAUCUAGUUUUUUUAGAAAAAAAUUGAAUUUUUAAUUAAAGUUAAAAAUUAAUUAAUUAAUUAAUUAAUUUUUAACUUUAAUUAAAUAUUUUAAGGGAUAAGCUUUAAAUUAGAUUUUUAUAAUUAAAUUAAUUUAAAUAUUUUAAAAAUUUUAUAAUUUAUAUUGUUAAUAAAUUUUAAUUUAUUAUAAAUAAUUUUAAAUUAAUUUAAAAUUUAAAUUUUAAAUUUAAAUUUUUAUAAAUAAAAUAAAAAUAAAUUUUAUAUUUUUAGUUAUAAUGAUAAAAUUAGUAAAUAUAAGCAAUAAAAUUAAUUUUUAUUUUUUAAUAAUUAUAUUAAAGGAAUUCGACAAAUUUAAGUAUUUACCUGUUUAUCAAAAACAUGUCUUUUUGAAUAUAAUUUAAAGUCUAAUCUGCCCACUGAUAAAUAAAUUAAAGGGCUGCAGUAUAUUGACUGUACAAAGGUAGCAUAAUCAUUAGUCUCUUAAUUGGUGACUUGUAUGAAAGAUUGGAUAAAAUACAAAUUGUCUCUAAUAUAUUUAAUUGAAUUUAAUUUUUUAAUUAAAAAGUUAAAAUAAUUUAAAAAGACGAGAAGACCCUAUAGAGUUUUAUAUUUUAUUAAUAAAAAUUUUAAAUUAAUUUGGGUAAUUUAUAUUAAAAAAAUUAUUUUAUUGGGGUGAUAAAAAAAUUAAAUUAACUUUUUUUAAAAUUUUACAUUAAUAAUUGAAUUAUUGAUCCAUUAAUAUUGAUUAUAAGAAAAAAUUACCUUAGGGAUAACAGCGUAAUUUUUUUUUUUAGUUCAAAUAAAAAAAAGAGUUUGCGACCUCGAUGUUGGAUUAAGAUAAAAUUUAAAUGCAAAAGUUUAAAAUUUUUGAUCUGUUCGAUCAUUAAAAUCUUACAUGAUCUGAGUUCAAACCGGUGUGAGCCAGGUUGGUUUCUAUCUUUUAAUUUUAUUAAUAUUUUAGUACGAAAGGAUCAAAUAUUAUAAUUAAAUUAAAUUAAUUUGAAUAUUAUUAAAGUUAUAAUGAAUAAUUAUG